GCCUGGAUGGCUCAGUCAGUUGAGCAUCUGACUUCAGGUUCAGAUCAUGAUCUCACAGUUGGUGGGUUCAAUCCCCACGUUGGGCU
rnacentral:tRNA from 1 species